rnacentral:lncRNA from 1 species
GUCCUCGCGGCACCUUAGUCGCUGAGCCACUUCGGCGCACCCAAAUGCCAAGUUGACCGUGCAGUAGGGUGAACAUGCACUCGCUAAAUCUGCUUCGGUAUCCAAGGACUUUUUUCAACACUUUGAUCAUUCUUGAGCCUAGUCUCUAGGAUAUUUACAAGCUACCAAGGUUUGAUAAUGCUUGCUUAUAAACGUUAUUUUUUAGGGCUCUCAAGUGCUGCACACGUCGGAAUGGCCGCAACAAGCGCUGUGGGCGCACUGGGAAGUGCGGGGUCCGAUAUAGCAAACACUGUGAUGGGUCAGUCAGGAAAAGAGGAAGGAUCAUCCUGAAGUCUCUCUGAAUACUGUCACACAUGCUGUGGUAUGAAGACCACACAAGAAGAACCCGUAUGUUCAUCCUAACGAGCAAGAAUUAAAGGAAAUGAAGCUGAAUUUACUGAAGACUGAGGCUAAU